CGGCGGACGGGUGAGUAACGCGUGGGUAACCUACCCUGUACACACGGAUAACAUACCGAAAGGUAUGCUAAUACAGGAUAAUAUAUUUGAGAGGCAUCUCUUGAAUAUCAAAGGUGAGCCAGUACAGGAUGGACCCGCGUCUGAUUAGCUAGUUGGUAAGGUAACGGCUUACCAAGGCGACGAUCAGUAGCCGACCUGAGAGGGUGGUCGGCCACAUUGGAACUGAGACACGGUCCAA
rnacentral:rRNA from 1 species